rnacentral:rRNA from 1 species
UCUUAAUCAUUGUAACAAUGGUUCUUGAGAUAACGUAAGGGAUAAAAAUGAUAGUACCUUACUAUAAGUGUUGUCCAACAUUACUGGUGCCAGAAGACUCGGUAACGCCAGAAACGCAAACGUUAGUCGUCCUAAUCAGGCGUAAAGGGUAAGUAGGCUGCUUUGAAAGUUGUUAAUUAAGAAAGCUCUUUAAUAAAUUUUUAAAGGUAAUUAAUAAUGAAUUAAAGCUAGAAUCAAAUAGGGGAUAAGCCAAAUAAUAUUUAGUGUAAGGCUAAUAUCUUUAGAUACUAAAUGGAAUACUAAGGUGAAAACUUUUAUCUACUAAUGAUUGACGCUGAGGAACGAAGGUGAGAAUAGAAAACAGGAUUAGAGACCCAGGUAUCUCUCACUGUCAACGAUGAAUGGUAGUUGUUAGUUAAAUUUAACUAGUAACGAUGUUAACGCGUUAACCAUUCCGCCUUGCGAGUAC